GCCUUCUUGGCUUAGUGGGAUAGCUAAGGAUUUUCACUCUUUUUAUGGGUCAGGCUUGAUUCCUGGUGGUGCCA
rnacentral:tRNA from 1 species